rnacentral:rRNA from 1 species
UACGGGGGGGCAAGGCGUUGUUCGGAAUUACUGGGCGUAAAGGGCUCGUAGGCGGCCAACUAAGUCAGACGUGAAAAUCCCUAGGCUCAACCUAGGAACUGCGUCUAUACUGGAUGGCUUGAAUCCGGGAGAGGGAUGCAGAAUUCCAGGUGUAGCGGUGAAAUGCGUAGAUAUCUGGAGGAAUACCGGUGGCGAAGGCGGCAUCCUGGACCGGCAUUGGACGCUGAGGAGCGGAAAGCGUGGGGAGCGAACGAGG